AUGUAUUUAUGCAGCAGCAGUUAAAGACAUUACAGUACAGAUCCAAAGUACACGAUCGGAAUCACAUCAUUCCUGUUAAACACGAGUUGUGCUAUCUCUCAAAACUUCACAUGCUUUUCCUCUUUGAUAAAUCUUUAAUGAAACUCAGCACUAGUGAUGAAUUAUUUCAUCGGUCAAGCUCACGUAUCAUUUUGUAUAAUCCAAUCUCAUGUAGGCAUAUUUAUUUAUUUUUGUGUCUAGCACAUUCUCGUACAAGUAAAAGUGGAUGUUCUUGAAUGGUAACAUAGCAUCUUUUAAUGUAUGAAAUAUACAUAUGUGACAGGGGUCACGAACAUUUAUUUUUUACUGCAUCGGAAAUUAUUAUUUUAUCAGUAGAACUAUGUAUAAACUCACAAGAUGAUGAUGAUGGUCAAUAAUAUUUGUCUGAAAUGACGUUACAUGACGUGAGGCAUGAAUUACUUGAAGAAAUCACACGUAUUGAAUCACAUCUUGGUCUCUCUCUUAUAAAAGGCUGGGAAGAAUUAGAUCCAUCUUGUUGGCUUUCAAAGCAAGUACAAAUUCACCAUUUCAAGUACUCCAUAAACUUCAUUUAAAAUUUCUAAAAUGGCUCACAGUACAAGAAAAUCUUGUGUGUUUGAAGUUACAUUCUUGUGCGUUUUAAUCGUAUGUGCUUCUUGCUCCCCGUUCUUAUCAGCAUGGAGGUCUCACUUGCCAGCACAGUGUGAUGUUAGCAUAGUUUCUCACGCUGGUCAUCCAAUUCAUCCUCCUAAUGUCCACUGCGACAUAAAUUUUACGGAAUGGUUUUUCAAGAAUAGAAAAUGUUCCCAAUCUACGUAUCAUGGGUGUAAAAGUGCCGGUGGAUUUCAUACGGAAGCUGAAUGCAAAGAUGCAUGUAAACCAGACUCUGAAGUUCAUCAUUGGUAUUCGACCUGGACUGACGAUUAAGGAGGAGAAACUUAUGGCUGAUACUUAUUUAAGAUUAGUUUGAAUCCUCAUAUUUAUGUACAAAGUUACAAAUUUCAAUAUAAUGUCGUUCACUAUUGUGUACAACUAAAUACUUUGUUAAAACUAAUACAGUAAGUGCAAAAUGAAGAAGAUAUUGAAAAUAUAUACUAAGAAUAUUUACUAACCCCCUUCAACCUGAAAUAAUAAACGACACAUUUAUUUAGCAAAAUA